rnacentral:rRNA from 1 species
GACGAACGCUGGCGGCGUGCCUAAUACAUGCAAGUUGAGCGAUGAAGAUUGGUGCUUGCACCAAUUUGAAGAGCAGCGAACGGGUGAGUAACGCGUGGGGAAUCUGCCUUUGAGCGGGGGACAACAUUUGGAAACGAAUGCUAAUACCGCAUAACAACUUUAAACAUAAGUUUUAAGUUUGAAAGAUGCAAUUGCAUCACUCAAAGAUGAUCCCGCGUUGUAUUAGCUAGUUGGUGAGGUAAAGGCUCACCAAGGCGAUGAUACAUAGCCGACCUGAGAGGGUGAUCGGCCACAUUGGGACUGAGACACGGCCCAAACUCCUACGGGAGGCAGCAGUAGGGAAUCUUCGGCAAUAGACGAAGGUCUGACCGAGCAACGCCGCGUGAGUGAAGAAGGUUUUCGGAUCGUAAAACUCUGUUGGUAGAGAAGAACGUUGGUGAGAGUGGAAAGCUCAUCAAGUGACGGUAACUACCCAGAAAGGGACGGCUAACUACGUG